CUCAGCCUGCACCCCAGCUCCGUAACCGCAGGUGUCGUGGUGCCAGGGAGGUUGAGCAAACGGGACAUUCUUGACCCCGACGGCAGUUAUACACGUCAGCACUCUGAACUGAGGGCCACGGAUGGGCUCGCCGGCCUCGAGCGCUCACCAUCCACAGACCUACACGAACGGCAGAGUCUUCGGGAAUAUUCCCGCGGCCGAGCUCAAGCUUUUGUCUGCCGCACGGCACUAGUGGAGAUGCUCGGUAUGAAAGAAACAGCUCUGGAAAUCGGCCACCGGUCCAGGUAAGCCCCGGCCAGGCCCAGCGACCGGCAGCAAGCCCAGUCUGCACGGUGAAGAAGUCCUGCUACCGCAGGACACAGGCAGCUUCCCGGGGGGGCCGCCUCCUUUGUGCAGGGAUGUGAGUAAUAUGUUCAGUUGCUUCAUUCAAGUGCUCUGGAGUAAAUCUGCUCUUGAAUUCCUCCGACUACAAACUGUCCAAGUUAGAAAACCAACACACGACCUAAAGCGCAGGCCCGCAGUCAGCAGCCAGGCUCCGGGGGGUGACUGGGCACCAGGACCCGCACCAGCCCUCCGGCCUGGCCCUCAGUCCGGACGCUGCCCACAGGCCGUGGCCCCCAACGGCUCCCUGAGCAGCACGGCUUUGCCCUUUUGGAGGAGGAGGCUUUGUCGAAGGCUCUGAGCAUGGCCAGGGCAGAGGCAGCCUCUGGUCCUGGGGAGACAUUGCCUGAAGGAUGCACGGGUCACGUGACCACACGUGGCUGCCCCACCAGACGGGGGACACACGAGUUCCGAGAGAUUCCGAGAGACCACUUGCCCACACGCCCUGCCCGUGGUGUCUUCUGCUGUCGCCCCAUGCAGCCGGUGAAGUCGUGGAUUCCUCCUGGACGGAGAGCCAGGCAGCAGCCACUCUGGGCCUGGCAGGCACACCUCUGUGCUCACCUGAGACGACAGCAAGCCAUGUCACUCCUUCCGUCGAGGGGAAGUCAGCUGGACACCGCACAUCCUCCCUGCAGAGGCGGACACUUCCCAGGCAGCGGGCAGGCAGGCGGCCGUGCACCCUCAGCCCCAGGGCCACAGCCGGAGGCGGGCCACAGGGAACCCCUCAACCGGCAGCAACAGAGUUUCUUUCACGGUCCCGGAGGUUCCGCGUGGCUGGCCGGCGGCACCGGCUCUGGGGGCCCUCGCAGCGGUCUCGGGGGUGACCCUGCGUCGCCGGAAGCAGAGCUGGGAAUUGGCCGGAAGCAUCAGGUGAAUGGCUCCUCACUCGAGUCUAGAAAGCAAACGUGCAGAGUCAGUGCAAAAGUAAAAAGCAUUUACUUUUCUGAACGAGACAGUCUUUUAUGUACGUGA
rnacentral:lncRNA from 1 species